CCUACGGGUGGCUGCAGUGGGGAAUAUUGCACAAUGGGCGCAAGCCUGAUGCAGCCAUGCCGCGUGUGUGAAGAAGGCCUUCGGGUUGUAAAGCACUUUAAGCGGGGAGGAAGGCGUUAAGGUUAAUAACCUUGGCGAUUGACGUUACCCGCAGAAGAAGCACCGGCUAACUCCGUGCCAGCAGCCGCGGUAAUACGGAGGGUGCAAGCGUUAAUCGGAAUUACUGGGCGUAAAGCGCACGCAGGUGGUCUGUCAAGUCGGAUGUGAAAUCCCCGGGCUCAACCUGGGAACUGCAUUCGAAACUGGCAGGCUAGAGUCUUGUAGAGGGGGGUAGAAUUCCAGGUGUAGCGGUGAAAUGCGUAGAGAUCUGGAGGAAUACCGGUGGCGAAGGCGGCCCCCUGGACAAAGACUGACGCUCAGGUGCGAAAGCGUGGGGAGCAAACAGGAUUAGAUACCCGAGUAGUC
rnacentral:rRNA from 1 species